UAAAUAAUUAAUCUUGAUCUAGGUUUUAGUAUUAGAGUUGAACUAACUUGUAAUUUAGCUUCAGCCAGAAAAUCAUAUUUCCGGUCUGAACAAUUUGAUUUUCUUUUUCAUAUAUUUAUAUUAAUCUUUCAUACAAAUAGAAAAAACAAGAUCCAAAAUAACUUGAUUUUUCUUGUUGCAACAACCAUUUUUUCUGUGCAAUCGAUCUUCACGUUAUGUUAUAUUAUAUUAUAAGUAUGUUAUCUAUAAUAUUAUUUCGUUAUAGCAGUCACUAAAUAUUGAGACGACUGUAUUGUUAUAGAAAAAAUUGUCUUUUAAAGUUUCAUACUCAUAGUUAGAUGUUGGCUCAUUAUUCAUUUUCCUGAUUGUGUUAUUUGAGGGUUUUCUCCAUCCUAAAAGAUAGGAUUACUAAUAAUAUGCUAUGUUGCUUGGACUCUUUGAAAAUGUCAAUGGGUGCGUUUAGAAUUCUUCACAACUAGUAUAUUUAUGGAGAAUCCAACACAAAUGUGGCAUCAAAAAUAAAGAGUUUGCCCAACUUAGAUAAUAUGUGCAGCUCAUUCCUCAUCAGAAUUGGCAAUGAAUAAUUUCUUUUAUUUUUGUCGCUAGUCCUAUUUAAUGAUGGAUUAGCGAUGAAUUUCAUAGAUAAUUUUUUUUUAGCAAUGAAAGGAGGCAUGCCAUUGUUAUUUAUUUUAGAGAUAUGUCUACAUAACAUUUUAUUCGUUUUUGUUUACCCCAUUUUUUGACCUGUUCAUAUCCGAUCCGACCCGGCUGGUUACCCCUCCUACUCUAGGCUUACAUUCUUCUUAUGCAGAGAGGUAACAAAUGGAUGCCAUAGUGGACUCAAUGGAGAAGGCAUAUCAAGAAUUUGUAACAGCAGCAGCCAUUGUGUUAGAGACAAGCGAAGCUAAUGGUGGCAAACAAGUAGAUGGUGUGGAUCCAUCUCUUGGAAGUUUCGUUCGACAUUUGCAAUUGUUCAAAGGUACUUGCGAUGAAGCACAAGAGUUUGUUGAGUAUUUGAAGAAUAGUUUAGAAUGUGGAAAAUUUCCAGAUAAUUUGUCUUAUUCUCCGGAACAGGUGUCAGAUAAUGAUCAUAGCAAUUCACCUAUUAAGGCCGACGAUGACAAAACGUCGAAGACAUGCAAGUACAUCAAAAACUUAGAAUAAGGUUGAAGAACGAGGAAAUAUUUUAGACAAAUUGUUACGAAGAGCUGUUGGUCUUGAUCAUAAUGGGCAAAAUGGUUGAAGUUAAUUGAACAGUUUGCACCACUUUUGUCUUUUUUGAGAUUUUGUAAGUCAAUAAUGUUCAUAUGAUGUUUCUCAACAUUUGAGUUAGUUUAUUAUCCAUGGUUUUAUUUUAGCAGCAAGUUUAUGACAUUGACAGAUCAAAUCUCCUUUGUCUAAAUAAAAUUAGCUAUGGUGCUAAAUAAUUUUUUUUUUGAUAAUUCUUCACUAAAUAAGAUUAGUAAUAGCAUUUCUUUUGGUUUGGAGACAGAACUGUCCAUCGUUAAUUUGUUUUCUUUUGUAGCGCUCUAUUCAAGCAUGUUAAAAAUACUAUUACUACAGAGGCUUAAUUCCAAAUUAGUUGGGUUUGAUACAAUGAAUUCUAGUUAUCUUGUUUGUGUUCAAUUAAAUUCAUCGUAUUUCUUUUUUUCUUUUUUGAGGAUGAAACCCAUCAUAUUUGCAAAUUCAAUGAUUAUGCCCUCUAAGCUUAAAUAGUUUUUAUUGACAAAAAUAAAGCAUGUUUGAAGCCAACUCAUCACUCAAAAACAACAUGAAAUCACUUCUGAAAUUCUCAAAAAGUAAGUACUUAAAAAAAUAAAAACAAAAAAAUAAAAUGUUUAUCGUGUUGUCUCUCAUAAAACGGUUGCUAUAACCUACAAUAAACACGUUGAACUACACACAUAACGUUACAAUGAACACGAAAUGGUCGCUAGCUAUAACCUGCAAUGAAUUCUAGUAAUGGUCGCUAGCUAUAACCUGCAAUGAAUUCUAGUUAUCAUGUUUGUGUUCAAUUAAAUCCAUAGUAUUUUUUAAUUUUUUUUUGGAUAAAAUCAUCAUAUUUGGAAAUUCAAUGAUUAUGCCCUCUAAGCUUAAAGAUUAUAUAUGUUUUCUAUUGACAAAAAUAAGUAUGUUUGAAGAUAACUCACCACUCAAUAACAACACGAAAUCACUUCUGAAAGUCUUAAAAAGUACGUAUUUAAAAAAAUAGAAAUAAAAAGAAAAAAUAUUUAUCGUGCUGUCUCGCAUAAAACGAUCGCUACAACCUGCAAUGAACACAUUGAACUACACACGUAAUGUUGCAAUGAGCACGUAACGAUUGCUAUAACCUGCAAUGAAUUCUAAUUAUCUUGUUUGUGUUGAUCAAUUAAAUCCAUUGUAUUCCUUUAUUUUUUUUAAAGAAUGAAACCCAUCGUAUUUGUAAAUUCAAUAAUUAUGCCUUCUAAGUUUAAAAAUUAUAUAUAUUUUCUAUUGACAAAAAUAAAGCAUGUUUGAAGCCAACUCACCACUCAAUAACAACACGAAAUCACUUAUGAAAGUCUAAAAAAGUAAGUACUUAAAAAAUAGAAACAAAAAGAGAACUUUUAUCGUGUUGUCUCGCACAAAACAGUCGCUAUAACCUGCAAUAAACAUGUUGAACUACACACAUAACAUUGUAAUAAACAUCUAAUGGUCGCUAUAACCUGCAAUGAAUUCUAGUUAUCAUGUUUGUGUUCAAUUAAAUCCAUAUCAUUUCUCCUUUUUAUUUAGGAUGAAACCCGUCAUAUUUACAAAUUCAAUGAUUAUGCUCUCUAAGCUUAAAAACUAUAUAUAUUUUCUAUUGACAAAAAUAAAUGAUUGAAGCCAACUCAUCACUCAAUAACAACACAAAAUCAUUUCUGAAAUUCUAAAAAAGUAAGUAUUUAAAAAAAAUAGAAACAAAAAGAAAAAACGUUUAUCAUAUUGUCUCGCAUAAAACGGUCGUUAUAACCUACAAUGAACACGUUGAACUACAAAUGUAACGUUGUAAUGAACACGUAAUGAUUGCUAUGACCUGCAACGAAUUCUAGUUAUCUUGUAUGUGUUCAAUUAAAUCCAUCGUAUUUUUAUUUUUUGUUUGAAACCCAUCGUAUUUGCAAAUUCAAUGAUUAUGCCCUUUAAUCUUAAAAAUUAAAUAUGUUUUUCAUUGACAAAAAUAAAGCAUGUUUGAAGCCAACUCAUCACUCAAUAAAAACACGAAAUCACUUUUAAAAGUUUAAAAAAGUACGUACUUAGAAAAAAUAGAAAUAAAAAGCGCAAACGUUUAUUGUGUUGUCUCGCAUAAAAUUAUCGCUAUAAUCUGCAAUGAACACAUUGAACUACACACGUAACGGUCGCUAUAACCUGCAAUGAAUUUUAGUUAUUUUGUUUGUGUUCAAUUAAAUCCAUCAUAUUUCUUCUUCUUUUUUUUAGGAUGAAACCCAUCGUAUUUGAAAAAUCAAUGAUUAUGCCCUCUAAGUUUAAAAAUUAUAUAUAUUUUCAAUUGACAAAAAUAAAUCAGGUUUGAAGCCAACUCACCCCUCAAUAACAACACAAAAUCACUUUUGAAAGUCUAUAAAAGUAAGUACUUACAAAAAUAGAAACAAAAAGAAAAAACGUUUAUGGUAUUGUCUCGAAUAAAACGGUUGCUAUAAUAUGCAAUGAACACGUUGAACUACACACGUAACGUUGCAAUGAACAUGUAAUGAUCGUUAUAACCUACAAUGAAUUCUAGUUAUUUUUUUUGUGUUAAAUUAAAUCCAUAGUAUUUCUUCCUUUUUUUUUUUUUAGGACGAAACCCAUCGUAUUUGCAAAUUCAAUAAUUAUGCCCUGUAAGCUUAAAAAUUAUAUAUAUUUUUUAUUGACAAAAAUAAAGCAUGUUUGAAGACAAACUACUCAAUAACAAAACAAAAUCACUUCUGAAAAUCUAAAAAAAAAGUACUUAUAGAAACAAAAAGAGAAAAUAUUUAUCGUGUUGUCUCGCAUAAAAUAGUCGCUAUAAUCUACAAUAAACACGUUGAACUACACACAUAACGUAAAUUUUAUCUCUAAAUCAACCUUUUGAAAACGACAAAAAAAUAAUUUAUGCCGAAAUUAUAAUUUUUCUUACUAUAUAAAAAAAGUAAAGAAAAAUAUAAAAGAUAUUACUACAUAUUAUAAAGAGGAAUGGCCAGUUUUGGUCGUCCUCACAGCCACACUUUUGCACUUAUUGUGGCUUUUAGAACCACCACCUGUGGAUGCCAUAAUUUGAUAAAAAUAAUAACUUAACUUUGUAUGAUAGGUAAAAGCCACUAUAAGGUAAAAUAAUUUUUACAAUGUUUUGUGUGCAAAAAAUCAAAAUUAUAGAUUCAAUUAGAUUUACGAAAUUUUGCUUUUUGCCAAUAACUUACUGCUAAAUUUACAAUUUGUGGCUUUUAGAACCACCACACGUGGAUGCCACUUUUGGCACUAGAGGAGGGUCCACAAAAUGAAAACAAUCAUCAGUUUAUAAAAAAUUUGAACCACAAAAUUAUAUGAUGUUAUACGUAACGUUUAAAUACCAUAAUCACAAUAUAGCAUUAUAAGUUAAUUUUUUCGUUUUAUUUUACGUGACAUUUUUUAAUUUCGCACAAUAUUAAAAGAAUAAAAUAAAUGUAUAAUGUUAAAUAUUUUAUAGCUACAAAAUUAUUUUAAUUUAAAAUUAAUUUCUAAUUAUAAUAAAUUAAUUACUCCCUCCAUUUCGUAUUAGUUGACCCCUAUUGACUUAGCACAUUCAUUAAGAAAAAUAUUUAUUAGGGGUCUAUUUUACCAAAUUAAUCUUAUUAAUUAUGUUUUAAAAAUAUAAAUUAAAAUAUAUAUAUAUAUCUUGUUUGGUCAUCUAAUGAUAGAGGUAUUAUUGAAAGAAUAUAUUUAAAUCCUCUUAAUUUCAUUAGAAUAACUAAAUUAAAAUAAAUAUUUUUAAAAAGAGUAACAAUUAAAAUGAAAUAAAGAAAGUAUUUGUUUUUUGAAAGAACUAAAAAAAUGUCACAUAUAAAAUAAGACGAAGAACAUAUUUAUUCUCUUCAUUGUUUCUUUAAGAACCACCACGUGUUGUGGAUGGUGUUAGAAGCUUCCCAUUAAUUAGUUUUAAUUUUAAAAAUUAUUACUUUUUAUCACAAAUAUCUAUCUUAUUCUUAACUUGUACUUACUCAUUUAGCAUGACUCAUCAGUUUCUCACAAAUAUAAGUCUGUGAUUACUUCAUUUAAAACUCCAAAUAAAUCUAUUGUUUGCCAUAUGUUUUCUUCUUCCAUAUUCUUUUGAGCAUUAUGUGGGUCGCCUCUUUGUGAGACGAGUUGUAGUCCUAUUCUGUUGCCUUAGGUUUCUUAUAGUCUCUUGCUAAUUUUUUAAUCAUAAUUUCUUGUAUUAGGUUUCUGUUCAAUUGCCCCUAAUUUCUUCCCUCAUGAAGCUUAGAAUAUCUUUUCCUGCAAAUCUUCAUUCAUUGGAACCAAGGCAGAGCAUCUUGUUAACUGUAUGUAAGGUAUGAUCAUCUAUCGUAAUCAUAAAAUGUGUUAAAUAAGAAUAUAUAAAUCAAUAGAGAUGAAUUAUCUUAAUUCUUUUUGAUGAAAGAAUACUAACACAAGCUCCGCAAGGAAGCUAAGUGUUUGUUGAAUUACAAGGUUAUUGAACAUCAUCUAUCAAAUCAUAAUUCAAGGAAUUUCUGUUGAAUGGACUUUAUAUAUGAUAUUAUUACAAUUAAAAGCUGUCCUUUGUGGAAUUAUACAAUGUACUGUGGUUCUGAAAAAGAAACUCCGUGUUGUGCGAUUUGAAAUUUGAUUCGUUCUAAUUAUAUCAUGCUUGAUCUCUCAUUCGUUCCGCAUUGUAUUAAAUAUUUGGCAUUUCUUAUACAGAAUCACACCAUUUAUUGCCGACCAUCUGUUAGUAAUGUCAAAAACCAUAUAUUAGUGUCACAAUCUUAUAUCUGAGUUUUUAAUUGGAUUACUGUUUAAUUUUUGUGUUGAAUCUUUAAAUACAGAAUCAGGUUAGUCUCUGUAUCGAGGGUCUAUCGAAACCAACCUCUGAAGUAGAGGUAAGCUUACCGUACAUUAUACCAUCCGUUGAAAUCACUUUGUGGGAUUAUAUGAGGUAUGUUGUUAUAUACAGAAGUCAAAAAUUAGUAUUCAUUUGUUAAACUAUUACAUAACAUUGUUGUGUUGUCUCCAGGUGCCAUCCAAUAGAGUGAAAUAAGGACUAGAAAGUAAUGUUAUUUCUUUUCUUUUCCUCCUUUAAAGUACACAUUUUAUCUCUAGAAACAAAUGGAGUAUUUUAUAAUCCACAAAAUCAUUUUCUUGGUUUUUAUUCUAAACAUGUUCUCUUUGACAAGUUUAUCGUGUUGUUACAGAAUUCAUCAGAGGAAUACACACCCUUUGAAUGCAUUCUCGCUUCCAAAGUCUUUAUAUUGGUCUACACUUCACAUUUUCAUGAUUAUAUUUCUUGUUUUCCUUGGGACAGGUUAGAAGGCUUCUUAAUGAAAGCAUGAAUGCAAAUGUGAUGACGGGUGGCCCUAAAUCACUUGGUAUGACCUCACUACAUCUUUCUGCUAAGGGAGGCCAUGUGUGAGUUAUGGAUGAGUUUCUUGAGAGAGGUGUUGAUCCUCUCACUUCGUACUGAAACAGUAUUGUCGGUUGCCAACUGUUGUUCCUUAUCAGUUUUGCCUACACAAAUCCAUCUUAUGCUUUGCUUUACAACCUACAAUACCAAUUUUUACGUUUAUACAUACUGUAUUAAUGGGGUCAGUAAACAUUCAACCCCUUCAUCUCUCGAUUUGCAUCUGUCACCAUCACAAAUACUUCAUUUUUUAGAGCUAUUGCAAAUAAUUUGAGAAUAUAUAUCCUCCAAAUUGGACCUUCCAAGGAAAUAAAUUGUAACAAAACUAUUAGUUUGUCGUAGAAACAAUUGUGGAAGUUUUGUAGUUUUAUCUAGCUCGUUGUUCAUGAAGCAUUUGACCUUUUCAUAAGAACUAUGCAACUCCGAAGUCAGUCAAUGAGCAGCUAUAAACUGAGCAGGUGGGAAAAGAAGAAAGAACAGAGAAGAUUAUGAUAUACCACUUCAAUAUACAGUUUUUGGGUAAUCUGGACACAAAAAUAUGAGAUGUUUUAAGUGCAGAAUAGAACGAGUACAUAGCUUGAAAGACAAAUGUUUAUUUUUGGUGUUUUGAUAUACAUGCCAAUUUUUUAUAGUACUAAUAUUCAAUGUAUUAUUUAUAAUUAUAUUGGAUGUCCCUCAAAGGACAAUAACAUGCCAAGUGUUUGCAACCACUCCCUCCAUCCCAAUUUAUGUAACCUUUUUAAAUAUCAAAAGUCAAAUAAGUUGUUCCUUGACUGUAAUUUUUCAUAUAUUUUUCAAAUAUUUUGAAUUACCAAUUAAUUCUAUCUAAAUUUUAAUACAAAAACAUUAGAAAAAAAUAGCAUUUUAAUUCGUCAAAUUACAUCAAUCUUAGGCCAGGUCCGGACUUGGUCCGGGCCAACCACACUAGUAGUUUGACAUAAUGGUAAGUAAAUACCACUUCCAACCAAUGGAGUUGAUGUUUUUCGACACUUUAUUUUUCAAAAAACAAAAAUAUAUCUAGUAUAUUUCUAUCAAGUGGGAUUUAGGAGGACAAGUGUAUGCAAUUCAUACCACUAUCUCAGAGGUGAGAUAGAGAGGCUGUUUCAGAUAGAUCCUCGCUCAAGAUAAAACAGUCUAGAAAAAAAAUAGUAAAGAGACAAAAAAUCAUAAGACACCCAAUAAUAAUACAAACAAGAUACUUACCAACUAAUACAACAAACGAUAAAAUAUUCUGAAAUAACACUAGUACCAAAGCUACUAGCACGGAUAACAAAACAAAGUCUGCCUACCUACUAGCACCGACGCACUCCUUCCUACUAUGCUCCUACCCUAAUCCGCCUCCUCACACCAUCUAUUUAGGAUCAUGUCUUUGGAAAGUUGAAGUGUUACCCCCCCCCCCCCCCCCCCCCCCUCCAAAUAUUUCUUCGGUCUACCUCUACCUCGCGGAAUCUAUUCCUAGCUAACCUCUCACACCUUCGCACUGUGGCAUCUGUGUCCCUCAUCAUCACAUGUACGAACCAUCUCAACCUUGCUUUCCUCAUCUUGACUUCCAUCGAAGUCACUCCCACAUUAUCUCGAGUAACCUCAUUUCUAAUUAUAUCUUUCUUAGUACAUUCACACAUCCAUCAUAACAUUUUCAUCUCCGUAAUCUUCAUCUUUUGGAUGUGAGAUUUUUUGACUGACCAACACAUCGCCCUAUACAACAUAGCUGAUCUAGCCACCACUCUAAAACUUGUCUUUGAAUUUAGAAGGCUCCUUCUUUGUAGAAGUGUAUACUAAAGAAGUAAAAAUGUUUGGAGUGAUUGUAUUUUUUUUCUCGUCUAAAAGAUUUGUGAGCUUUUAAUUUGUGGAAAGAAUCAUCUUUCAUUUUGGAGUAAAUACAUAAUUAACCCCCCUGAUCUUGUCCGAGAUUUACAAAAAGACACCUAAACUUUAACUUCGACCUAUUACCCCACGAUUCUUCUUUAUUUAGUUGCAAACACACCAUUUUGACCCUCUGCGUGUAUACACGCGCCACAGGCACAUAAAAGGACUUGAAUUUGACUUUUUGACCAAUUAAAAGCUGCCACAUGUAAAAUAAUUUAAUAUAUAAUUUAUAUUCUUUUUUUAANNNNNNNNNNNNNNNNNNNNNNNNNNNNNNNNNNNNNNNNNNNNNNNNNNNNNNNNNNNNNNNNNNNNNNNNNNNNNNNNNNNNNNNNNNNNNNNNNNNNNNNNNNNNNNNNNNNNNNNNNNNNNNNNNNNNNNNNNNNNNNNNNNNNNNNNNNNNNNNNNNNNNNNNNNNNNNNNNNNNNNNNNNNNNNNNNNNNNNNNNNNNNNNNNNNNNNNNNNNNNNNNNNNNNNNNNNNNNNNNNNNNNNNNNNNNNNNNNNNNNNNNNNNNNNNNNNNNNNNNNNNNNNNNNNNNNNNNNNNNNNNNNNNNNNNNNNNNNNNNNNNNNNNNNNNNNNNNNNNNNNNNNNNNNNNNGGUGGGCGUAUGGGACGAGGGGUGAGGGUGCUGAAUGAGAGUGGGGGGUAGAGGGGAGCUGUUGGGGGAGGGUUGCUGGAUGGGGUGGGGUGGGGUGUUAAAUUAAAUAAAAAGUAAAUUUUUACUAAAAAAUAAAAAAAAAUAUAAAUUAAACAUAUUUGAUACGUGGCAGCACCUGAUUGGCGCGUGUAUUUCACUCUCGUUGUUGUGACUGAGAUUUAGUGAAAAAUGAUGUGUUUGCAAUGGAUUAAGUAAGAAUCGUGGGGUAAUGGGUCGAAUUCAAAGUUUAGGUGUCUUUUUGAAAAUCUCGGCCAACAUCAGUGGGGUAAUUAUGUAUUUACUCUUCAUUUUGUUGCAAAAGAUGGUAACAUGAGCGACACCAUUGCACAAGAAUCGUUUCAAAAACAUUUGUAAAAACCUAUCAAAAAAGAAAUUCCAACAUCUCAAGAAAUUAUUCGACCACCACUAGAAAUCUAGGUUUCACCUACGACAUUCAAUGAAAAAUUUAUGCAAUAAAACAUGAUUUUUCAUUCAUUUUUUGCUAAAUCAGCUCACUGAGAAAAUACAUAAUAAAAAACAUAUUUUCACUGAAACACUGGAAAGCUAACUAAUUUUUAUAUUACUAUUUUGUUUCUUACUGAUUCAAUCAAAAUAUCUGUAAAAAAUAAUAACCACAGAAUAAUUUUCGGUGAAAAAUUUCAUUGAAAAAAUAGUUAUUUCUUAAUAGUGAACGUACAAACACAUUAAAUGAAUAGCACAACUAAAAAUUUAGGGGUCGUUUGGUUGCUAGUAAAUAUUAUAUGCAAGGAUUUGAUGUGCUAAGUUUUAUAUAUAGCAACUAAACGUAAUGCUACCCAAAUAUGGUACUCCUCUAUUUUAAUUUGGGUAAAGGUAUUUAUGUACGAGGGUCAAAACACAUGCAAGUAUAAAUUCUUUAAAUAUUUUCAAAUAAAUUUAAAAAUUUACGUCAAAAAAUUGUAUAAAUAACUAAUAAUUCAAAAUAUUUUUACAAAAUCUGAACAAAAUUAUAUUCAAACUAAAAAUCGUAGUAAAACUUCGUAUAAGUACCUCAUUAGCAUUUGGUGUAGGAUCCAUCUCAGGUUUCAACUUUCUCCUAAUUGGUUGCAAAGGUCAUAGGCUAACAUUAGAGUGGUCAAAUUAGCCUUUGGCAAAUUGACCUUUGGCCAAUUUGCCUAGGCAUUUCUUGGUUAGGAAAGUCAAGAAAAGUAUGCCCUUUCAUUGAGUUUUGUGGGCAGAUUUUUGCCUAUAAAAGGAGCUCUUGAGCUCAUUUGGAAGACAUACCAACAAAAGAGGGAAAAAAAAUAGAGUGAGGCAGCACAGAGAGUUUAGUCUGCGAGAAAAAAUAGAGUGUGAGCGAUAUUGUAGUGAGGUGAAAAAAAAUUAAAAGAGAGAUUUCUUUUGAGUGUGUAGUAGUCACUUUGAGUAUUGUACUUGUGACUACGGUGUAAAAUUCCUUACUACAGAGAUAUCAGUUGCUCCUCUUGGCCCGUGGUUUUUUUCUCAUUGGGUUUCCACGUAAAAAUCUUUGUGUCAUUAUCUUCAUUUAUUUUAUCUAUUAUUUUUCCAUAAAUACUUUUGUUGUUAUUCUGGGUUUACCCAACAAACUGGUAUCAGAGCCACGGUAUGCAAUAUCUGUAUUUUUUGAUAAACAAUGGAACCAAACACAAGUAGAAUGAUUAAUUUAAAUGGCGUUAAUUAUGUCAUUUGGAAGGAAAAAUGAAAGAUCUGCUCUAUGUCAAGAAUUUUUAUCAGCCGGUCUUUGACACUUAAAAAUUUGAAAAUAAAAUCGAUGAAGAGUGAAACCUGAUGCACAGACAGGUUUACAAUUUUAUCAGGCAGUGGUUUAACGAUAAUGUGCUGAACCAUAAUUCUGGGAAGACACAUGCUCGAUCCCUAUAGGAGCAUCUUGAAAGUUUGUAUGUUCGAAAGACCGAGAAUAAUAAAACAUUCUUGAUAAAACAAAUGUUGAGGAUAAAAUAUCAUGAUGGUUCUCUGAUGAUAGAUCACCUGAACAACUUUCAAGGAAUUAUGAACCAGUUAUUUGCUAUGAACAUUAAGUUUGAUGAAGAAAUUCAAGGUUUGUUUCUACUUGGUUCCUUACCAGACUCAUGGGAAAUAUUUAGAACUUCUUUAUCAAAUUCUUCUCCUGAUGGCGUGAUCUCUAUGAAUUUUGCCAAAAACAGCGUUCUUAAUGAAGAGAUGAGACGAAAGUCUUAAAAUUCCUCUUCGUCUGAUGUCCUAGUGACUGGCGCUAGGGGGAGAAGCGAGAAUCGUAGUACUCAAAAUAAUGAACACCAUAGAAGAAAAUCUAGAGGCAAAUCUAAAAAUUUUGAGUGCCACCAUUAUGGUUUAAAAUGGCAUACAAAGAAAUUUUGCUGGAAGUUGAAGAAGGAGAAAAGAGGUAAGGAGAAAAAUAAAGAAGACGACAAUGAAAAUUGCAUAGCCACCGUUACCAUCAAAGAUUUUGUUACUAUCCUUGAUGCAAAUUUAAUAAAUGUUGCUUGUGAUGAGUCAAGUUGGGUUGUGGAUUCUGGUGCUGCAUCUCAUGUGACAUCAAGAAAGAAUUUUUUUCUCAUCUUAUACUCCAGGUGACUUUGGAACCUUGAGUAUGAGCAAUGAGACUGUUUCUAAGGUGGUUGGUAUUGGUACAAUUUUUUUAAAAACUAGUACUGGAUCUAAACUAGUUUUAAACAAUGUAAAGCAUGCACCCGAUGUUCGCUUACACUUGAUUUUUGUUGGCGUGCUAGAUGAUAAGGGAUAUGUUAGUACCAAUGGUGGUAGAAAAUGGAAACUCAUUAAGGGUUCUUUGGUUGUUGCUCGUGGAGACAAACGUUGUGGUCUGUACUGGACUAAGGCUUCUACUUGUGCUAACAUGGUGAAUACAGUUAAAAGCGCUAGCUCUUCAAUAUUAUGGCACAAGAGGCUUAGCCACAUUAGCGAGAAAUGACUUAAUGUUCUGACCAAGAAGAAAUUAUUGUCAGAUUUUCGAAAGUGCUAAAUUAGAAAAGUAUGAGCACCGCUUGGCUUUAAAACAAAAUAGAGUUUCUUUCAAGUCUCAUCCUCCUUCAAGAAAGACAGAGUUGCUUGAGCUGGUGCAUUCAGAUUUAUGUGGUCCAAUGAAGACAAGGACUUUGGGUGGUGCACUUUACUUUGUCACUUUUAUAUAUGAUUACUCAAGAAAACUCUAGGUAUAUGUCUUGAAGACGAAAUACCAAGUGUUGGGUGUCUUUAAGCAGUUUCAGGCUUCUGUUGAAAGAGAAAUAGGGAAGAAGCUGAAGUGCAUUUGUAGUGAUAACGGUGGUGAAUGUUGUGGACUGUUUGACGAAUACUGCAAGCAGCAAGGUAUCAGACACCAGAAGACUCCUCCUAAAACGCCUCAACUUAAUGGUUUGACGGAAAGAAUGAACAGGACCUUGAUGGAAAGAGUCAGAUGUUUGCUUUCUAAAGUAAAGUUGCCGAACUCCUUUUAGGGUGAGACUUUAUUGACCUCUACACAUGUUGUUAAUCUACCUCCUGUUGUUGCUUUGCAAAGUGAGGUGCCAAAUAAAGUUUGGUAUGGGAAGGAUGUUUCCUAUUACCACUUGAGAGUAUUUGGUUUCAAAGUUUUUGUACAUGUGCCCAAAGAUGAGAGGUCAAAGUUAUAUACCAAGGCAAGAAAAUGCAUCUUCAUUAGUUAUGGCCUUGAUGAGUUUGGUUACAGUUGUAUGAUCCACUUGAAAAGAAGCUUGUAAGAAGUCAUGAUGUUGUCUCACGGAGAAUCAAACCAUUAAAGAUAUUGAUAAAACGGAGAAAUCAGAAUCUGCAAAUUCUAAUAGUGUGGUUAGUCUUGAUCAAUUUCCUCAUACAAGUAUGCAUAAUAUUGGUGGGCUAGAUAACCAUAUUGACGCCUAGAAAAAGGUUCAAAAUCAACAUGUUAAUGUUGAUAAUGACAAAGAUGUUGUUGUUGAUGAGGCUCCAGUUUAAGAAGUCGUAGAUGAGCCAAAUUCUCCACUAAGAAGGUCUAUAAGAUAGCACAUUCCUUCUUCUCGUUAUUCUAAUAAGUAUGUGUUACUCAUGGACGGGGGAGAACCUGAAUGUUAUGAGGAGACCAUUGAAGAUAAACAUAAGGAUCAAUGGAUUGAAGCCAUGCAAGAUGAGAUGAAAUCUCUGCAUGAGAACCACACCUAUGAGUUGGUGAAAUUGCCUAAGGAUAUGAGAGCUUUGAAGAAUAAGUGGGUGUUCAAAGUAAAAUUUGAAGAACACAGCUUAAAACCCAGAUACAAAGCCAUAUUGUUUGUCAAAGGAUUUGGUCAAAGGAAGGGUAUCGACUUUGAUGAAAUAUUUUCUCCUGUUGUAAAAAUGACCUCUAUCGUACAGUUCUUGGUUUAGCUGCUAGUCUUGAUUUGGAGAUUGAGAAGAUAGAUGUGAAGACAACUUUUCUUCACGGUGACCUCGAAAAGGAGAUUUAUAUGGAACAAUCUGAGGGCUUCAAGAUGAAAGGUAAAUAAAACUAUAUGUGCAAACUUAGGAAGAGUUUUUAUGGCGUGAAGCAAGCUCCUAAGCAGUGGUAUCAGAAGUUUGAAUUUGUCAUGGGGGAGCAAGGCUACAAGAAGACUUCUUCAGAUCACUAUGUAUUUGCACAAAGGUUUUCUGAUGGCGAUUUUAUCAUCCUCUUGCUACAUGUGGAUGAUAUGUUAAUUGUGGACAAGAAUGCUUCCAGAAUUGAGGAGUUGAAAAAACAGUUACGCAAGUCCUUUGCUAUGAAAGACUUGGGUCAUGCUAAGCAGAUUUUGGGCAUGAGGAUUACUCAUCUCAGAGAUGAAAGGAAGCUUUAAUUGUCACAAGAUAAGUACAUUGAACGUGUACUGGAGCGCUUCAACAUGAAGAAUGCUAAGGCUGUUAACACACCCCUUGCUGGUCAUAUGAAAUUGAGCAGGAAAAUGUACCCUACAAUGAAAGAGUAAAAAGAGAGCAUCGCUAUCGCUAAAGUUCCAUACUCCUUCGUUGUCGGAAGUUUAAUGUAUGCAAUGGUGUAUAUCAGACCCGAUAUUGCUCAUGCAGUUGAUGUUGUCAGCAGGUUUCUUAAAAAUCCAGGAAAGGAGCACUGGAAGCAAUCAAAUGGAUAUUGAGGUACCUAAGAGGAACCUCGGGAGACUGUUUGUGUUUUGGAGGAUAUGAUCCAAUCUUGAAGGACUAUACAAAUUUUGAUAUGAUGGAUGACCUUGAAAAUAAAAAAUCUACUACUGGAUUUUUGUUUACAUCUUCAGGUGGAGCUAUAUCAUGGCAGUCGAAGCUACAAAAGUGCGUCGUACUAUCUACAAUUGAAGCUGAGUACAUUGCAAUUACUGAAGCUGGAAAGGAGAUGAUAUGGCUCAAGCGGUCCCUUCAAGAACUUGGAUUGCAUCAGAUGGAGUAUGUUUUCUAUUGUGACAGUCAAAGUGCAAUAGACUUGAGCAAGAACUCCAUGUACCAUGCAAGAACAAAACACAUUGAUGUGAGAUACCAUUGGAUUCGUGAACAAUUGGAGAACGAAUCAUUCUAUGUCAAGAAGAUUCACACCAGUGAAAAUCCCGUGGAUAUGCUGACAAAGGUGGUGCUAAAAGACAAGUUUAAAUUGUGCAAAGAACCAGUCGGCAUGAACUCUCUGGAAAUACCUCAUUCAGAUGCAUAGAACUGGAGGGGGAGAUUUGUAAGAUCCAUCCCAUGUUUCAACUUUCUCCUAAUGGGUUGCAAAGGCCAUAGGCUAACAUAAGAGUGGUCAAAUUGGCCUUUCUUGGUUAGGAAAGUCAAGAAAAAUACGCCCUUUCAUUGAGUUUUGUGGACAGAUUUUUGCCUAUAAAAGAGCUCUUGAGCUUAUUUGGAAGACACACCAACAAAAGAGAGAAAGAAAAAUUGAGUGAGGCAUCACAGAGAGUUUAGUCUGUGAGAAAAAAUAAAGUGUGAGCGAUAUUGUACUGAGGUAAAAAAAAUAAAAAAAAAAAGAUUUCUUUUGAAUGUGUAGUAGUCACUUUGAGUAUUGUACUUGUGAUUACAGUGUAAAAUUCCUUACUACAGAGAUAUCAGUUACUCCUCUUGAUCCGUAAUUUUUCCCUCAUUGGAUUUCCAUGUAAAAAUCUUGAUAUCAUUAUCUUCAUUUAUUUUACCUAUUAUUUUGCCAUAAAUAUUUUUAUAGUUAUUCAGGAUUAUCCAAUAUUUGGUACCAAAAACAUAGUGGCUGGGACAUAGCAAUCAAUCACUAGCAUGAAAAAGCUCCUCGUUUGGUUGGAAAAUUGAUAUUUCGGAAUAAUUAAUAUCGAGAUUAGUUAUCCAGGAUAACUUAUCCCACCAUAUAUAUGGAAUAAGUUAUUCCAUGACAAAAAUGAUGGGAUAAAUUAUCCCACCAUAAAUAAUCCCUCAAUUUAAGUGAUCUUUUAUUUUAUCUCAAAAUAAUUUAUUCAUUAAAUUACUUAUACGUCGUACCAAACGAUACUGACCACUUAACUCUUUAUAACAUAUGAUACAUGUCCAAUUAUUAUAAAUUAUUACUUAACCUUUUUUUCCUUCUAUUCUUUUAUUAAGUAUAAGCAUUUGGUGGUGGAAUUUAGCAGUCUGCACAAAAAAUGGAGCAUAACACACAAAUCCAAAUUCCAAGAGUUAAAUUAGGUACCCGAGGCCUUCAGGUAAAUUACUAUUUCCUCCGUUUCAAAAAAAUGAGCUACUUUAUUUUUAGUCCAUUUAUAAACGAAUGAUUUUUUAUUUUUUUUUUGACAAUUGUUUAAUUUUAACUUUCCACAUUACAUGUUUAGAACACAAGAUUAAAGGACAUUUUCAUACAUUUGACACAACUUUAAUUUAAGGUCACAAAAUUUAAAAUUAUUCUUUAUUUUCUUAAACUUUGUACUAAGUCAAAGUUUUGAAACGAAGAGAGUAACAUUUUAAUCAUGAUUUCAAUUUCCAUUUAUUUUUUGAGUUUUUUUUUUUCGCACCAGUAGUAGUUUUGAUAAUUUAUCUGCAAUUACUGAUCAGUGAAUUGAGUGGAGAAAAGAAAAAUAUUAGUCCCUCCAUCUCAUUUUAUGUAUCACCUUUGAUUUAGCACGGCAAGAAUAAAAGAAAAUUUUUUGAAAUUUGUUAUUUAGAAUGAUCUUUGAAAAUUUAUGUGGUUGUCAAUCAUUUCAGGUAAAAGGAUAAUUCUGAAGUUAAUUUAGCAAGGUGACAUUCUUUAUGAAACGGACUAAAAGAAAAUUGUGUCACGUAAAAUGGAAUGAAGGGAGUAGUAACAAUUUUGAAAGUCAAUCAAGUUUUUUAUUUUUUUUAGUAGAAUUUAGUACUAAUUUUUAGGGUGUUUUCAAAUAUGUAAAUUUUAUUGUCAAAAUCUUUAAGCUUGUAUAUCUGAAUUCACGGUCAAAGUUUAGAAGUUUGAGUUUCGAAAUUUUAACUGUAUUUUCAUCUAACCAGUUCUUCAUUCCACCUGUUUUGAAUUUAAAAUUGGAAAUGUAAUCUUUCUGUAUAGCAAUAGAUGUUUAGGACUGUUGCUUUAGAGGAGAAAAGAGUCAAAAUUUUCUGCUGUCAAAUUGAGUUUAAUCUUUAGUUUUAUACUUUUAUCCUUGAUUUUUUUUUGUUUCCCAUCCGGUGUUCGGUACCCACACCCCGAUUAAUCCGGAUCGCGCAUUGCAGAGCCCAUUCUGUGGGUGGCGCUCCCAAUAGGAUUUUCUUCAUACCCAGGGCUCGAACCCGAGACCUCUGAUUAAGGGUGGAGUAGUCCCACCACUACACCACAACCCAUGUUGGUACUUUUAUCCUUGAGUUAAUGAUUAAAACAAACGCACCUAAACUAUCAUUUUUUCACGAGUUCCACACCUAAUUAUACAUUAUUCUAUUUUCCUACUUUUAAAGCUAUUACUUUUUCGCGAGCUUCAUACCUCAACUAUCACUUCCUUUGUAUUAAACCACACCUCGAUGUUGAGUUAGGCAACACGUGUUUGUUGGUCGAUUGAAAAUAAAUAUUAUGUCAACUCAUCAUUGAGGCGUGUUGUAAUAUAAAUAGAGUGAUAGUUUAAGUAAAUAAAGAGAAUAAUAGAUAGUUGAGUUACGAUACUCGCGAAAAAGUGACAGUUUAAGUGUGUUUUUAGCCAAUGAUUAGUCCCUUGAGUACUCGCAAUACUGGAGCCAGGAUUUCUAACUAGGGGAUUCAAACAAAAUUCGGAAAUGCCUCACCUGGGAUUCAAACACGUAUUUCUGUUAUGCUAAGGGAUCCAGAAUUGUAUAUAUGCUCAAAACGAGUUACCUUUAACCUAUUUACAAUUGAAUCCCUUCUUUGCAUUUGGCUCCGCAUUUUCGCCUACGGUAAUAGUUAUGUUGUGUAUGGCCAAUUAUCUCACUAUUAUUUUCCUUGAUUAUCCCUUAUCACUCUCCAACAUUUCACUUAGUUGAGAGACUAAAACCCAUUGAUCGGAUUGUGAACCUCUGAGAUAUGGAACCGCUUAAGAGAUUUGAUGUGAAAAGAAAAGGCAAAGGUUAUGCUAGAAGCUUUUAAAUCAUUAGUUAAUCUUUUGCCAGGUCUCAAAACUCGGGUUUGGUUGUGGAGGACUUUCUGGCAUAUAUAAUGCUCCUCUCUCACAUGAAGCCGGAUGCGAAAUCUUAAAGGAAGCAUUCAACAAAGGCAUCACAUUCUUUGACACAGCAAACAUAUAUGGCUAUGAGGGGCACAAUGAGAUAAUGGUAGGAAAGGUAUGUACUUAUUGAUGAAAAUAAACAGCAUUAGGGUGUAAUGCAUUUCGGAUCAGUGUCCUGUCAAUAUUUUUGUAUCAAUCAAAUUAUCAUCGUUGUUUGAAGAUUUAGAUUCAUAUAAUCACUCAGUAUUGCUUGGACCCGUAUCUUCUUGUAAACUAUCAUAUAAGUAAUGAUUUUGUUUUGAUAAAUGAUCAUUUUGGGAUAACCAGGUAUUGAAGCAGCUUCCUCGUGAGCAAGUCCAAUUGGCGACCAAAUUUGGGUGUAUAGUUUCCGGGGACCUCCAUGACUUGCAGUAUCAAGUCAAAGGCACUCCACAAUAUGUGCGGCAAUGCUGUGAAGAAAGCCUCAAGCGGCUUGAUGUGGAUUACAUCGAUCUGUAUUAUCAGCACCGGAUAGACGCAUCUGUGCCUAUAGAGGAAACUGUAAGUAUCCAAUUUUAUCCAUGUUCUUGCCUAUGGUGAUAAAUAUGUUUACACAAACUUGAUUUUCUUGAAUCAAUUUAAUGAGGAAAAAGAUGGGGGAACUCAAGAAGCUAGUAGAGGAGGGAAAGAUAAGAUACAUUGGCUUAUCUGAAGCCAAUGUGGACUCAAUUAAGAGAGCGCAUGCUAUUCAUCCUGUCACUGCUGUACAAAUGGAGUAUUCUCUUUGGACUCGUGAGAUAGAAGAAGAUGUAAUUCCCCUUUGUAGGUAUGCUCGAAUAUGAUGACUUUCCAUACUCUAAGAUUAAGAUCGCUUCAAUGACCGACAUUGUUGCACGUGCAACCACAAUUUCUUUUUCCUCUAAGGUUUAUUUCCCAUGAAUGAAGUAGUCACUGUUUCUUUCUCCUGUUUGAUAAUAGUUAUAGUAGUAUGUAAUAGAUCUACAAGAGUUUGAAGAGUUGACGAUAAGAGAGUGCAAGCCUACCACUCUAUGUCACAUAUUCCUUAUUCUAGCUAACAUAGUCUAAGAUGACUUAGUUCUUUGUACAGUUCUCGGAAUGAAGAAUGAAUUACUCCUCAAUGCUAAACUAGUUUUUUUAAUGACAUAGUGUACGGACAACUUGCGAGUACCUUGAUCACUAAUUCGGUGGGAUGUUUGCUAGCUCCCAACCAGCACAAGGACCGGUUAACUGGGUCCACUUAGGCUAGGACAACUACAUAAAUCUUCUAUAUUCAUUCCCUCUUCAUUCAGACUUCAUUUCAAUAACUAAUUGUUUCUUCAGACAAGUAUGUGUCCUCUUUAUUCUGAUUACUUUAAUCACCUUCUAUCAUUAUAGUGUCUCACCUACACACCGGUACAUAUGGAGGCUUACAUAAUCAAACCAUCUCGAUAGACUUCCUCUUGUUUUUGCUUCCUCAGGCAAAAGCGAUUAUUUCUAGUUUUCUAUAAUUUUAUUUUUUCCCGG
rnacentral:lncRNA from 1 species